AUGCUUAGUUCAUUUUAAUUCCAUCUCGGUUACAUUUCCCAUUCUCUCUUCUCAUUCAUUCAUUUAUCCUUUCCUUUUACUAGUUACUGACUACCUAGAGGAGAUCCAGGAAAGAUAAAGAAGAUGUAGAGAAAAUAACUCAGGGAGCUCCUAGAGUGAGAGGAAAAAAGCUAUGCGAACCAAUAAAAUGUAAUGGGUGCGAGGAGGUAUUCAUAAGGAAAUGUGAAAUCCCAGAAAGUCCCUAAAUCUGUGAGUUGGAUUCCAGCUUAAUGCAUCUUCAUAUUUUUCUGAAUCACUCUCUGUACACAAAUUUGCCUCAUUUUAUCCUGCACACAAGAUUUACUGAAGCGUGUUCAAUGACAUCAUUUGUUGCAUAUGUGGAAGUAUUUGCAGCUGGUUUAAAACUUUUAACAAGCAAACUCUACCUGAAAUUGGAACAUACAUAACUUCCAAUUUACCUCAUCUGUGUCAUACAUGUAGAAAUUGUUUCUGAAUUAAUUACAUCCUCUUACUUAACAUGAAGGAAAAACAGAAAAGAUGUUCAUGAUUCUUGUCUAGUUUUUAUCCAUUCUUCAGGUAAAAUUUGACUUUAUAACCUUUACAAUAGGAACGGAAUUUAGCUUCGACUUCCACACUCCAGCUUUCAGUUUAGAUAAUCACGUGUCCUCCUUUAUGAGCUUUGCUGAGAUGCUAUUGAAAGUGGAUUUACAUUCUGUUGCCUUCAUCUCAGAAGCAAUGUAUUAGCUCCCUAUUACGUUUUACAUUUAUUUCUGAAUUGAUUGAACAGUGACAUUUGACCAAUAUUUAUGUUUUAGAAUUGAUUUAAAUGAGAAUUAGAAUUGUUAGAAAUAAUCUGAAUGCUGAAUAUUGCCUACUCCAAGUAUGAGGCUAAAGAUUUAUGAGACAUACUGGUUUCAGUUUGUUUAUUUUGAUGUAUUUAAUUUUCAAUCACGCCUGCAGUUUGCAGAAGUUCUAGGACCAGGGAGAGAUCCUGUACCACAGUAGUGACCUGAGCUACAGCAGUGACAAUGCCAGAUUUUUAACCCACUGAGCCACCAGGGACUCCUAUUUGUUUUUUUCUUUUCUUCUUUUUUCUUUGUUGGCAUAUGGGGUUCCUGGCCAGGGAUCCGAUCUGAACUCAUUGCCCCACAACAGGAACUCCAAGGCUCUGAUUUAUUUUUAAAUCUAAUUGUUUUAUCACCUGAUAGAGAAAUAUAAAGCUAGUGAACGAAUUCAAUUUUCCAUUUAAUUCUUGUCACGUCGUACUAGUUAAUUAAGAACAUUUGGGCCUAAACAAAUUUCACAAUAGUCAUUAAAAAAAGGUGAGCCCUUACAUUUUGUACACAAGAACAAUUUAAUUGAUUUUUCUUUUACUUUUAAUUAAUUUGUUGUGGCAUUAGGUAUAUAUAUUAUUAUUAUGAAUUUGUAUGUAAAAUUGAUUAAAAUUUAUUUUCAUAAAAUAUCUAUAAUGAUUUUAUAAAGUAUUAAUUUAUGUUUUGGUAGUGUAAUGUAAACAUUUCAAAAUAAAGUAAAACACUCUAACUAGCACACAUGUAUACAUGUAAUCUAAUGACAGGAUAGUGUAGAAAACCAAUCUUUGCGAUAGUCCAUGUAUUUUUUCUGAAAUGAUGAGUUCACAUGAAAAUAUUUCAAUACGUCUUUGACAAAAAGAAAUUUAGUUUUUUUGUCUUCACCAAAUAUGCUGUGCAUUUUGGAACUCAAAUGCAGUCAUUAUAAAGAAGAAAAAAUAAAUGAGAAGAGUUACUGUCAGAAAAUUACCUAAGUUUUGUGUUUUAUAAACACAAACUGUAGUAGUCUUUCUUAUGGACUACUACAAACAGAAUCCAAGUUGAGAAUAUUGCUUGGAGGUAUCAGUUUCUUAAAAACAUAAUAACCAAUAAAGACUAAUAUUUUUGGUUCUAAGUACUUCACCCACCCUCCCUCUUAAAUUUGUUCCUCGGAAUUUUUCUAAAUUAAUACAACUUUUCAAAAACGCCUCCCUGCAUCAAAUCUUUGUGUAAAAAGUUGGGAUUAUCCUGAGGAUCAUGCUAACUAUUAAAACUGAAGGACAAAGCAGAAAAUGUACACCUAAAGUAUUUUGAUAUGUCUCAGUGUCUCUGCACUUGACAUUACCUUGGCUUAGAACACUCUUGAUCAAGCAUUGAUUUCAUUCCAGUCUUUCAAGAUCUGAUAUUCACCUUAUCUCAAUUGCCUUCCUCCAUUUAACCUUUGUCUCCUCAAGGCAUUAAUAUCCUCUGUGGAAGUUUUCUCAAUUUGUUACUUUUUUCCUCUCUGUAUUGGUUUGAUUGUUUAUUGGCCAUUCUUAUGCCAGAAGCUUCAUGUAAGUCUCAACUUUGUAGUUUUUAUCAGUAUAAUCCCAGUACCUUACAUAGUGCCUGGCACAGAGUAGAAGUUCAAAUAAAUACAUGUUGAAUAAAUAAAUGAGUGAAAUCAAAUUUAACCAUACAUUUUUUGCCAAAAUCUCUACUGGUGCAAAAUUGCCUAAAGUUACAUAUUUUUGUGUUUGUGAAAAUCAUAUAUUCUAGGUCCUUACAAAUCCUGUGAAACUAUUGUUUAUUAUUUCUAAUACAAAAAUUGUGGCAUUCUGUCAAUAUUUAUGCAAUAGCAACAUGAGGGCACAGAGUGGGAACUGCUCAAAGAGAUGAUAAUUCUUUUCACUUUGCCAUCAUUUACAUUUUGUCAACUUUAGAAAAGGAGAAAAUGGUGAGAAAAAUCUGUAAAGAGUUUACACACAAAAGAAUAUUUCAACGAAGGAAAAUAUGUCAGCUCACUAUACCAUAUUUUGUUCUUUCAAAAUAUUACAAAAUUGACAUGGGACAUAAUGAUGUUUGAUGUUCGAAGAAAAAUACAAUAUGUUUAGGAAACUGUAUAUGUGAUAUGGAUGCAUCGCUGUGAGAAAUACAUAAGGAACCGCUAACAUUUCAAAGGCACAGCUUUUCAAAAUGGUAUAUAUAUGUUUCUAAAAUUGCUGGUGUGCUAUAAUUAAUUUUUAUUCACUUAUCUUUUAUAGACAAUUUUCAUAGCUUAUCAUGAAUCCCUAGAGUGCUAUGAUUAAGUCAAUAUGUGUACUUGAGUAGCAUGUAAAUGUAUUAAGUAUUUAAGUAUAACAUUCUUGAUACAGCCUAAGGUAUUUCACACGAAUAUAUCCAACAUUUUGCUUUUUGAAGGGUGAUAAAUGUACUUUUAUGCUUCAUCACACAUACUGUAAAUAUCCUUUAUACUUGCAUUAAAUUCCCGCCUUGCUUCACAUCAUCUGUUUAAUUUUUUAAUAUAUGCUGCAUAAUAAAUGCAUGAUGUUGAAUUCAAACUUUGUAAGAGUUUGACCCAUGAUAAGUCAAUCCCAUAUCUUUCUCUGUGCUUCACUGAUCUGGCCAGAAUAUGGACUUUUUUUAUACAUGAACGGGACGUGAGUGAAACCAUGAAAUCAGAUGAGAACCUGGGAAAUACCAGAGAAAUAUUGUUCAAUGGCAUUAUUACUGUGAAUGAUUUUUUCCAAUUUUCUUUC
rnacentral:lncRNA from 1 species